rnacentral:rRNA from 1 species
UGCCAGCCGCCGCGGUAAUACGGAGGGUGCAAGCGUUGUUCGGAAUUAUUGGGCGUAAAGCGAGCGUAGGCGGUUAAUCAAGUUGGUGGUGAAAGCCCGGAGCUCAACUCCGGAACUGCCAUCAAAACUGAUUGACUUGAGAUUGGUAGAGGAAAAUGGAAUUCCUAGUGUAGAGGUGAAAUUCGUAGAUAUUGGGAAGAACAUCGGUGGCGAAGGCGAUUUUCUGGGCCAAAUCUGACGCUGAGGUUCGAAAGCGUGGGUAGCAAACAGGAUUAGAUA